UCUGUCCCGGAACGCUCGGAGGGUUCAGGAUGUUCUGGGCUCUGUCCCCGGGAUUCGCUGCCCGGCCCCGGCCGGGGGGCCCCGAGCCCUCCUACGGGUACAGGGCACGGACACCGACAGGGCGCUGUCACUGUCCCGUGUUCGGUACCGGCGGUCGGAGGAGCUCCCGGAGGAGCUCCCGGGGGUGUUCCCAGGGGUGUCCCCGAAGGAGCUCCCGGGGGUGUUCCCGGGGAGCCACUUCGGGCUCGAGGGGGGCUCCCACCUGGGGCUGUCGCUGCUGCUGCCGCCGCAGACGCUGGAGAGGGUCCUGCUGCUCCUCACCCGCUGCCAAAGCCCAUCCCAGCCGGAAUGAUCCCAAGGGACAGGAGCCCCCGGGCUGGGGAGGGAUUGGGGGGAUCCAGGGAGGGAUUGGGGGGAGCCAGGGAUGGAUUUGGGGGAUACAGGGAGGGAUUGGGGGGAUCCAGGGAUGGAUUUGUGGGAUCAAUGGAUGGAUUGUGGGAUCCAGGGAUGGAUUAAUGGGAUCCACAGAUGGAUUCAUGAGAUCAAUGGAUGGAUUUGUGGGAUCCAGGGAUAGAUUCAUGAGAUCCAGGGAUGGACUGUGAGAUCCCAUGGAUGGAUUCAUGGGAUCAGUGGAUGGAUCCAUGGGAUCCAGGGAUGGAUUGUGAGAUCCAGGGGAUGGCUUUGUGGGAUCCAUGGAUGGAUUCAUGGGAUCCAGGGAUGGAUUGUGGGAUCCAGGGCUGGCUUUGCGGGAUCCAGGG